rnacentral:lncRNA from 1 species
AGAAGAGUUAGCCCAGCCUUCGAGGCGUGAUCCCAGUCUCUUCCUCCUCCUCCUUCCUCUUCCUGACUGCUCUGUCUUCAUCCCCGACUCCUUCUCUCUGCAGAUCCAACGUUGUUUACUGUUGCUUCCGGUCAACCACUUCUGUGCAGGUCCUGAGCUUCCCCCCAGAGACCAAAGCCAGGUCAGUGUUGAGGCUCUGAUGUCUACAUUUCCCAACUUCACACUGACAUUUUACUCACGUGCCUGGCCUAGAAUGUUUGCCACAGAUGUAGUCUUCUCUGAUCACAAAAGAAUGCUUUUUUGAGUCAGAAGGAUUUCAUAUGCUCCAAAUAGAAAAAAAUACCCAUUACCCAGAAAAACUUGAGAUCCUAAGCUCUUUAAGGCUUUUCUCUUUGCACGGAUGUUGUUCCUG